rnacentral:rRNA from 1 species
GACGGGUGAGAAUCCCGUCCACCGAUUGACUAAGGUUUCCAGAGGAAGGCUCGUCCGCUCUGGGUUAGUCGGGUCCUAAGCUGAGGCCGACAGGCGUAGGCGAUGGAUAACAGGUUGAUAUUCCUGUACCACCUAUAAUCGUUUUAAUCGAUGGGGGGACGCAGUAGGAUAGGCGAAGCGUGCGAUUGGAUUGCACGUCUAAGCAGUAAGGCUGAGUAUUAGGCAAAUCCGGUACUCGUUAAGGCUGAGCUGUGAUGGGGAGAAGACAUUGUGUCUUCGAGUCGUUGAUUUCACACUGCCGAGAAAAGCCUCUAGAUAGAAAAUAGGUGCCCGUACCGCAAACCGACACAGGUAGUCAAGAUGAGAAUUCUAAGGUGAGCGAGCGAACUCUCGUUAAGGAACUCGGCAAAAUGACCCCGUAACUUCGGGAGAAGGGGUGCUCUUUAGGGUUAACGCCCAGAAGAGCCGCAGUGAAUAGGCCCAAGCGACUGUUUAUCAAAAACACAGGUCUCUGCUAAACCGUAAGGUGAUGUAUAGGGGCUGACGCCUGCCCGGUGCUGGAAGGUUAAGAGGAGUGGUUAGCUUCUGCGAAGCUACGAAUCGAAGCCCCAGUAAACGGCGGCCGUAACUAUAACGGUCCUAAGGUAGCGAAAUUCCUUGUCGGGUAAGUUCCGACCCGCACGAAAGGCGUAACGAUUUGGGCACUGUCUCAACGAGAGACUCGGUGAAAUCAUAGUACCUGUGAAGAUGCAGGUUACCCGCGACAGGACGGAAAGACCCCGUGGAGCUUUACUGUAGCCUGAUAUUGAAAUUCGGCACAGCUUGUACAGGAUAGGUAGGAGCCUUUGAAACGUGAGCGCUAGCUUACGUGGAGGCGCUGGUGGGAUACUACCCUAGCUGUGUUGGCUUUCUAACCCGCACCACUUAUCGUGGUGGGAGACAGUGUCAGGCGGGCAGUUUGACUGGGGCGGUCGCCUCCUAAAAGGUAACGGAGGCGCUCAAAGGUUCCCUCAGAAUGGUUGGAAAUCAUUCAUAGAGUGUAAAGGCAUAAGGGAGCUUGACUGCGAGACCUACAAGUCGAGCAGGGUCGAAAGACGGACUUAGUGAUCCGGUGGUUCCGCAUGGAAGGGCCAUCGCUCAACGGAUAAAAGCUACCCCGGGGAUAACAGGCUUAUCUCCCCCAAGAGUUCACAUCGACGGGGAGGUUUGGCACCUCGAUGUCGGCUCAUCGCAUCCUGGGGCUGUAGUCGGUCCCAAGGGUUGGGCUGUUCGCCCAUUAAAGCGGUACGCGAGCUGGGUUCAGAACGUCGUGAGACAGUUCGGUCCCUAUCCGUCGUGGGCGUAGGAAAUUUGAGAGGAGCUGUCCUUAGUACGAGAGGACCGGGAUGGACAUACCUCUGGUGUACCAGUUGUCGUGCCAACGGCAUAGCUGGGUAGCUAUGUGUGGACGGGAUAAGUGCUGAAAGCAUCUAAGCAUGAAGCCCCCCUCAAGAUGAGAUUUCCCAACUUCGGUUAUAAGAUCCCUCAA